GGCUAUUCGAGUUCCAGAUUAGCACACAAACUUACCACUUUUAAAACAAAGGUAAAUAUUUUCUUCUUCAUUUUUCUUUUCUACUGACACAAUUUGUCCAGUGACUGUUUCGUAAAAAGUGAUUGUUUAGGCAUCAUACUCCCCUUGGGCAAACUUGUUCUCCGGAUAGAAUACAGCCAUCACUUGGUUCCCUCCAAAUUUUCUUCCAUUCAAACCAGCUCGAGCUUUCAUUGCGCUGUCAAUGUCUGCAUACUCCAAAAAGACCUUUCCAACUCCGGGUGCUGCUUCAUUGGGUCUCGGACGCGGGAUAACAACGUUCACUAAUGUACCAAAUUUUCCGCCUUCCCCUCGCAUGUCUUCCAUGAUAUCUUCGUAGUCUUCAUCAUUGAUAAGCUCUUCAGGGGAAACAACUUGUGUAAGACAAAGAACCUUCGUGGAUACAGCCCCGGGCUGUAGCAUAAGCUUCUGCAAUGCAAUUUGCUGCUGUGCAUGUAAAAGAACACUUUCUUGCUCUGGUUUGGGUUGAUUGGCACCUUG
rnacentral:misc_RNA from 1 species